rnacentral:rRNA from 1 species
CGAAGCAACGCGAAGAACCUUACCAGGCCUUGACAUGCAGAGAACUUUCCAGAGAUGGAUUGGUGCCUUCGGGAACUCUGACACAGGUGCUGCAUGGCUGUCGUCAGCUCGUGUCGUGAGAUGUGGGUUAAGUCCCGUAACGAGCGCAACCCUUGUCCUUAGUUACCAGCACGUUAUGGUGGGCACUCUAAGGAGACUGCCUACGCAAGUAGUGAGGAAGUGGGGAUGACGUCAAAUCAGCACGGCCCUUACGUCCAGGGCUACACACGUGCUACAAUGGCCGAUACAGAGGGCAGCUACCUGGUGACAGGAUGCAAAUCUCCAAAGUCGGUCUCAGUUCGGAUCGGAGUCUGCAACCCGACUCCGUGAAGUUGGAUUCGCUAGUAAUCGCGCAUCAGCCAUGGCGCGGCGAAUACGUUCCCGGGCCUU